UUCAUCAAGAGUAGCCGAGGGAAUGGCCCUAUGACGCUACGGCAACCAUCACAAUUGUGAACGGUGCCAAGUCCUUCAGGUAAAAAUCGACCUGACAGAUGAA
rnacentral:ncRNA from 1 species